rnacentral:rRNA from 1 species
GAUGAACGCUGGCGGCGUGCCUAAUACAUGCAAGUCGAGCGAACGGACGAGAAGCUUGCUUUUCUGAUGUUAGCGGCGGACGGGUGAGUAACACGUGGAUAACCUACCUAUAAGACUGGGAUAACUUCGGGAAACCGGAGCUAAUACCGGAUCAUAUUUUGAACCGCAUGGUUCAAAAGUGAAAGACGGUCUUGCUGUCACUUAUAGAUGGAUCCGCGCUGCAUUAGCUAGUUGGUAAGGUAACGGCUUACCAAGGCAACGAUGCAUAGCCGACCUGAGAGGGCGAUCGGCCACACUGGAACUGAGACACGGUCCAGACUCCUACGGGAGGCAGCAGUAGGGAAUCUUCCGCAAUGGGCGCAAGCCUGACGCAGCAACGCCGCGUGAGUGAUGAAGGUCUUCGGAUCGUAAAACUCUGUUAUUAGGGAAGAACAUAUGUGUAAGUAACUGUGCACAUCUUGACGGUACCUAAUCAGAAAGCCACGGCUAACUACGUG